CUGGGAUUCACCAUUUAGACAGAUGGGACUUUGGGCAAGUUCCUGGAGCGGUCUGAGCCUCAGAAAUGGAAAUGCGGAAUACAAAUGAGACACUACGUGUUACAUUCUUGUAAAGGAUCGAAUGGGCCAAGGUCCAGAAAAGAUGUGGGCAAACCCCUACCCGCACCCUAACCCCCAUCUUCCUUGUGUAUGCUCAGGGUGAUGCAGGCUGGGCUGACACUUCUUGUGCGGGUUUUUCCAGUAUGUGGCGACCUAAAAGCAUUUCCUAGUCCCUGCCUUGUUCCCGUUUGCACACAAAGAGAAGUUGGCCCAGCCUCAUGUGACCCUGAGAUAAGGGACUUUGCAUUCCUUAUCCCUGACCUGUGACGGGAAGCAGAGGAGGCAGCUGGACGCUGCUGAGUGCCAGGACUGUAUUGUCCCUCAGAGGGUCUGUUCUCAGUCUCUGGGAGUCCCCAGGACGGCGCUGCAGUUUUGCCUGUACUGUCAAGAAUCUAGUCAGUAACAGCUUCACCCCCGUUAUUGUGCCAAACUCCUGCACAGGCGUCCUGGCUGCCCAGACAUCUGAGCGUGCUUCUUUCACAGCAGCUUUGGAAUGGACAGAGAAGUUAGAGAAGGACUCCGGCCCCGCCCCUGCCCCACAUCCCACCCCCAAGGAAGCCUGAGACAGAGGGUUAACACCUUUGCAAGAGCAAGGUGCUGUUGGAACAGAUGGGUCUGAUCAUAGGUAGGCAGGAAGAGCAGGGCCUGAGGCUGCCCCAUGGGAGUAGGAGAAAUGGAUGCAAAAACACUGCUUUUCUCCCUCUGGCUGCAGGGUCAAGAGCAAGCCAGUGAUUCACACCCUGGGGGAAUUGGCCUGUCUAUGCUCCAGAGUAGGAGGUGGGAAGUGCAACUUGGAGCUCCAAAGAGCUGGUUAUUGUUCUGCAGCUAGGAGGGUGUUGGGGGGGAACGGGAGGGGGAGAUGGGAGGGGGACGGGACGGGACGGGACGACAACGACGGGACCGGACCUUGUGACAUCCCUAAGCACUACAGGGGCUGAUUAGACAUUACCCACCAUGGUGACUAUUCUCUUCAGAUCAACGCUUUAGGGAGUCAGGAAAAGGGCCUGGAAAACUCACUGCAGCCCCUGAAGAGCAUCAGCUAGUUUAUGGUGAGGAGAGUGGAGAGACACACAUUUGGUCCUUUGCUUUACUUGGCACUGCUUGGCCAAUCUGAAACUUCUCUGUACAGAGAGGCUAGAGAAGCCCAGUGUCACUGCCAACUCGCAGACCAUGAGGGACGGGACCUUCAUGCUUGCUCCUGGUCAGCUCUUUGAAACAGGCUGGAGAGGAUGUUCAGUACCACUGGGACCUCCAUGGCCAGGGGGCAGUUGUCUCCUGUGGGGGAACCACUCUCAAAGUUUCACGGACAUCUGGUGACAGUGAGCACUGCACUGCUGAGAAUCCUGUCAGCCAGAGCUCCAGCUGUGUUUCCAUCAGCCUCUCCCGCUUAGGUAAUGUCUUCUUACUGUGUUUCUCUUAUUUCUGGGCAUCCUUGGUCCAUCUAUCCCUGGCCUGCCUUCCUCUUGGAUCCAAAAGCAGCUGAAGUAAAGUGGGGACAUUGGGGACAAGGGUUUGUAGCAAGGAGUAUUUCCAAGGUAGCAAGAGAUGCAGUCUCUAGAGCUACCAUCCCUGGGCCCCAGCCCUGCCCUUCUAUUAGCCUCAGAUUGGCCAAGCCUCCAGACUAAGCUGGGCUCCUGCUGGUUCCUGGGACUCUGUGAGAGAGGGCCCUUCCCCAUGCUCACUCCGUCUUGCAGAACUCCCCGACACCCAGCUUCUGACAGGAACCUGAUGUGGAAAGUUCUGGUAGCGCCAUGUGAUGCAGACUCAUAUGGUGUUUUGCUGAGGCUCCUUCCUACUCUGCACCAUGAGGCGGAAGGGAUUCUUUUCCUUUUCAUCCUGGGAAUUUUGGAGAUUGAAUUGAUCUGAGCGUGUCUUUAGAGGACCAGAAGAAUACAAACUGGCACCCUGGAGACUCAGAAGUGAAGGAUUCUGCAAGAGGAGCCCUGUGGCUGCUACCCUCUCCUGGCGUGAGUGACAGAGGGACAUUGACUCUGAUUGGGGCAUAGAACCCAUUUCAUUUGCAAACUGAGCUCAAAAUUCCCAAGAAAUGUUUACAGUACUUAUGUUGAAAAAUAAUCUGCUUAUUUUUUUAAAGUGCUCAGAGGAGGAAUCUUACUCAUUUAAGGAAAGUGAAAUAGUUUGAAACAUAAAAAUUAAUAAAUCAUUAAGUAUAAUA
rnacentral:sRNA from 1 species